rnacentral:tRNA from 1 species
GUGGAUAUAGCUCAGUAGUAGAGUGUAUGCUUAGCAUGCAUGAGGUCCUGGGUUUAAUCCCAGUUCCUCCA